rnacentral:rRNA from 1 species
GUAGUCUGCAACCCGACUACAUGAAGCCGGAAUCGCUAGUAAUCGCGGAUCAGAAUGCCGCGGUGAAUACGUUCCCGGGUCUUGUACACACCGCCCGUCACACCAUGGGAGUCGGAAAUGCCCGAAGCCGGUGACCCAACCCGAAAGGGAGGGAGCCGUCGAAGGCAGGUCGGAUGACUGGGGUGAAGUCGUAACAAGGUAAC